ACAGCACCUGUGCUCUCUCUAUGCCCCUUUCCAAGACAGAGAACCACUUGCCUCGCUGUAAGCUUUUUCUUCUUUUCAGCAGAGCAGAGUGCAUUCCUGCUUCCAGCUUGGUGACGUAAAAAAAUGGUCUAACAUGAAGUUCUAGCAAACUUUGGCAUGAAAGUUUCUGGGCUACCUUGGCAAACCCCAAAUCUGACAUUUCUCUUUAAAGCUCUGGGCAAUGACAGGAGAAGGGUGCCCAAAGCACAACAGAGUGUCCCUUCAUGAACUUCUUUCAAAAAUGGAUUGCUUAAAGCUGAAGACAUAUGAGGGGAUUAACCUGACUCCUCAUACGGAAGAGACAGCUCUGGACCCAACUUUCACUGUCUUCACAACAUAUGUAACCAAAGAAUUGCCCUACAUUAGGUAAAACAUGGCUACUUGUUCUAUCUCUGGCUGGUAAAUUCCAGCACCAAGUAUUGCUAAUGGCCCUGACUGUCUCCCCUCUAGAGUCUCUUUUGCUCCUGAUCAUGUAUUUACCCUUCCAAACUCUCAGUUUCCUUCUCAAUUCACUUCUCUACCUCAGCCCCCAAGUCACUGUUUGCCUACCAUAGUUUAUGAUAUGGAAUUUAUUUGCUUAUCUGCCUAAACUUCCCAGGGUUUUGCUUUACUAACCUAGCUCUCCUCUUUAUGCCCUCCAAGAACACAAGCAUCCUUAGAAUGUUUGUUUCCUUUCCUUAGAGAUCUCACCCUCCAAGCCCAUUGUAGAUAAGAUAGAAUACUCUGAAACAUUAGUUAUGGAUGCCCUGUUAACAGCUAUAAAAACAGUAUAGAAUUGUAGAAAGAAAAGGCUAAAAUGGACUUCAGAAAUCAUCAAAUCCAACUGACUCAUUUUACAGUGGGAAAAAUUGAGGCUCAGAGAGAUAAUAACAACUAUAAUGACAGCUGACAUUAAUAUUAUUCUCAGGAAUGCUUUUACAAAUACAUUAUCUUAUUGAUCACCUCAACAACUUUGUGAAUAACUUUAGCUAGUAAUAUUCCCACUUUACAAAGUAGUAAACUGACUUACCCAUAUUUACACCCCUAGUAAAAGGCAGAAUCAAAUUAGACUCAUGUCUCCUAACUCCAAGUACAGCACUACUAUACCACAUUUCCAUCAUUAAUUACAUCUUACAAGAAUUUGAAAAAUACAUCCUUUAAAAGUGGAAAAAUUAUAUUGUAAAGAGACACAUCCUAUGACAAAAAUGUGUAUAUGUGUGUACAUACAUACACAUAUUUAUUCAUCUGAAAUGACAAUAAUAAGUAGUACAAGUAUUUAACCAGAUUAGAUGCAUAUGAUCAAUUCCCAACCAUAAUGUUCAUCAAAAAUAUACUGGGUCCUUCAAAUGAAUGUGUGUGUGGUGGGGGGAAGCCUAAACAUUGAGGAGGUAAUCUCAUUUCUGCAAACAUAUUAAUAACUAAGAAGGAAAAGGAAAAAGAGGAGGGAAAGGGGAAGGGAAAACAAGGGAAGGGAAGAAAAGAAAGAAAAGGAGGGGAGAAAAGAAAGAAAGAGAGAGAGAAAGAAAGAGAGAGAGAAAGAAAGAGAGAGAGAAAGAAAGAAAGAAAGAAAGAAAGAAAGAAAGAAAGAAAGAAAGAAAGAAAGAAAGAAAGAAAGAAAGAAAGAAAGAAAGAAAGAAAGAAAGAAAGAAAGAAAGAAAGAAAGAAAGAAAGAAAGAAAGAAAGAAAGAAAGAAAGAAAGAAGGGAGAGAGGGAGGGAGCAAGGAAGAAGGGAAGGAAGACUUCUGUCUCUGCCUCUUUGAUUUUAAUGAUCCGAAAAAAUCAUGAUUGCUAAUCUUGCCCUGAUUUACACUCACUUUUAUCCCAUCUUCCCACCCUUGUUUGUGUAGGUAAAAGAGUGGAAAAGCCUCUCAGCUCCAAUUAGUGUUUUAAUCAUUGACACAUAGCCCCACCAUGAGGAACAGGAGAGCCUGUUUGACACCCUAAAAAUAAUUUACCAGUGGGAGACAAGGAACAAGCCCCUUGCCAUACAAUAUUAAGACCCCUCGUAAUAGAUACCAGAGAUCAUUAAACUCCACUGAAACAGGAAGCAACUACCAACCUACCUGAAUUCAGCUGGCAAUAUGUGUGCAACAAGUCCAACCUUCAGUCAUGGUUGAAAUUGUAGGAGAACCCCUCAGCAUUCUGACAACCUGCCACAGGGAUCCAGAACAAGCUGGUACCUCAUAUACUGUAUCCAAACAGAGUAUCACCCAAACAAGCUACCAGUAAUGACUGAGGGCACAGUGAGAUCCCCUUCCCUUCCCAACACAUCCCAUAUUCAGGCCAACCAGUCCUCCCAUUCCAUCUAACAGCCCACCUAUUCUUGUCCUUCUAGAUAGAACUGCCAGGGCCCCCAGGUAUUGUAGCUCCCAGCUUUGGAGAAUUUGAAGACUUCUGAAAACUUUACAAAUUCUUUUCUGACCCAAAUCCCAUGGCUGCCCCAGUGGUAAUCAAAACUUUCAAUGGGCACCAACCAAAUUUGGUUCAGACAAGUGACACAGGAGACCAAGCCCUUGAAAAUCUGAGUGAGGAAACAUUGUGAGGUAUUCAGCUUGAAUAAAAACUGCUCCACCCUCCACCCCUCAUCCCACUAAUGUUGGAGUUCAGUUGGCUGUUGCUGCAUCAGUCUCCUAAAAUAUAGCAUUCAAGGACCACCUUUAGUUCCUAGUACUACUGGAUACACAAAAUCUAUAGAAGAGCUGUCAGACCUAAACUAGAAAAGAUACUCUAGCCCUAGUCUUCAAGUAAAAACUGAAAGAAUGGGUCUCUCUAGCCCUCUACUCCCUUCACUGAGGUCUUGGUGCAACUCAUUAAAAAGAAGAAUGAGAGAUUAUGACUACCACAAUUAUAGAGCUAUGCCAUCACCAUCCAGAAUUCUCUGGGUCAUAAAUGAGCUCAUAAAGUUCUCAAAAUAAUAUCCUCUCUCUCAGUACAUCACAACUGGUUUACAUGAAGAUGAAAAUCAGAAAACAGCUUUCCUGACCCUGUUUGGCUUGAAAUAUAAAUACUGCUUGGUUUCUACAAAAUAUUUAUCAUUAUUCAAAGGAGAGGUCAGUGAACCUGAAAUGGAAGGGAUGAACAAACCCAAUGGGAAUUUUUUUUUAAUUAAGUCAGUACACAUACUUCUUUCUGCCAAGUACACUAGGAAAAAGCUCAAGGAAGUUAACUAGGCAACAUUCAAGUUAAUAUGAUUUGACAGACUCAUUAGCACAAGGAAUAAGUGUCUGUCAGCCAAAAUAAUCCCAUUAACAGUGCUCUAAAAUCAUAAGGACACAUAUUUCACUUCCUUUGCACAUAUAUGUUCAUGUCAAUUUUUUUUAAUUUAAAGCUUAAAAAAGCUUUACUAUAAAUGCUGAAUAUGCAGAAAUAAUAAGAACUUAAAUAAAAUUUAAUACACAUUGUAUUACUGUUAUCUAGACUAUAUCUGCUAUCCAAGAGCCAAUUUAAAUUCAUGAAGCUUAUCAUCCUCCUAGUAACUGGUCAUUUUGUUUAGUCAUUUUUGUUAGCUGUGUCUAACACUUCACUACACCAUUUGGGGUUUUCUUGGCAAAACUAUUGCCAUUUCCUUCUUCAACUCAAUUUGCAGAAGAGGAAACUAAGGCAAAUAGGGUUAAGUGAUUUUGCCAUGGGUCACACAGCUAGUAAGUGUCUGAGGCCAUAUUUGAACUCAAGAACACAAGCCUGGCUUCAGCCCUGACCACCUCCCCCAAUUCUGUCUACUGUACCACCUGACCACUAGGUGAUGAAUUUGGUCAUGGCAAUGCAUGAAAGAAUGUCAUAUAACCAAAGAAUAUUACUGUCUAGACUUUGAAGCAAGGGCAUUCUCAGAUAUCUAUGAUCUUGUUUUUAUUUCAUUGGGAGGAAAUUGUAUAUUAUUGAGGCUGUUAAAAAGUAUUAUUCAUUUGAAAAAAGUCAAUGGUUUUUUUUCCCCAAAUUCUAAUGCUAUCUUUCACUGCAAUGUAGGCUGGGCUAACACCAAGGAACAAGCAGCAAAAAUUUACCUUAUGCAUAGGUUAAUUUUAACUGUGAAAAUCAUAUAUCAGACAAUAUGGCAGAAUAAAGACAGGGACUCAAAUUUCUUUGAGGUCUCCCAAAUUUCUCUUUAAACAACUUUUUAAAAUAAUGCCUUAAAUAAAAUUCUGUAGCAGCAGAACCAGCAAAAAGUUGAGGUAAAACAACUUUCCCUCCAAAGAUAAUUUAGGAAGUCAUUAGGAAAGAUCUAUCUACAUAGCGGGGUAGUCAGACAUGGAACCCAAUAAAGAAUGUGCAGACUACCACAAAUUGGCAAUGGCAGGCUUCAGAGACAGUUCAUCAGAGUC